rnacentral:rRNA from 1 species
AACGAACGCUGGCGGCAUGCCUAACACAUGCAAGUCGAACGAGAUCUUCGGGUCUAGUGGCGCACGGGUGCGUAACGCGUGGGAAUCUGCCCUUUGGUUCGGAAUAACAGUUGGAAACGACUGCUAAUACCGGAUGAUGACGAAAGUCCAAAGAUUUAUCGCCAGAGGAUGAGCCCGCGUAGGAUUAGCUAGUUGGUGUGGUAAAGGCGCACCAAGGCGACGAUCCUUAGCUGGUCUGAGAGGAUGAUCAGCCACACUGGGACUGAGACACGGCCCAGACUCCUACGGGAGGCAGCAGUGGGGAAUAUUGGACAAUGGGCGAAAGCCUGAUCCAGCAAUGCCGCGUGAGUGAUGAAGGCCUUAGGGUUGUAAAGCUCUUUUACCCGGGAUGAUAAUGACAGUACCGGGAGAAUAAGCUCCGGCUAACUCCGUGCCAGCCGCCGCGGUAACAC